UACGUAGGGUGCGAGCGUUAAUCGGAAUUACUGGGCGUAAAGCGUGCGCAGGCGGCGCGUUAAGACAGGUGUGAAAGCCCCCGAGCUUAACUUGGGAAUUGCGCUUGUGACUGGCGUGCUGGAGUGUGGCAGAGGGAGGUGGAAUUCCACGUGUAGCAGUGAAAAUGCGUAGAGAUGUGGAGGAACACCGAUGGCGAAGGCAGCCUCCUGGGCCAGCACUGACGCUCAUGCACGAAAGCGUGGGGAGCAAACAGG
rnacentral:rRNA from 1 species